rnacentral:lncRNA from 1 species
AGAGAGAGAGAGAGAGAGCACGAAAUCUGAUUGGUUCGUUAGGGAAAUCUGGAGUUAGAGAGUGCAAGAGAUUGGAAAGAGGUGGGAAGAGCGCCAAGAAAUAGCGGUAUGAGGAGGGAGUCAAAAUUUCGGAGGGUUUCAAGAGAGAAAGUGAGGAGAGCGAGAAUUUCGGACGGUUUAGAGAGAGAAAGAGAGGGAGUAGAAAUUUGGGAGGAAUUCGAACGAGGAGAGAGAACAGGAAUUGGCUGUGUUGGGAGAGACCCCAAAUUUAGAAAAUGUAGAAUUAAAGGUGAACCUCAAAACUUCAGGGAAAAAGGUUGCUGUGAUAUUGAAAAACCCAGAGUUCGUUUGGAGAAGAGGAAAUUAGGAAUCUUUCAUAUUUGAAAUUCAAAAAAAUAUAUGGAUUUACAAUAUCAAUGAUUUUUGUCGUGGAUUCGUCAAAUCGUUUGGAUAAACUAUACAAAAUUCAUAUAGGUAACUAAACUUGUUACAAUUUUUCGCUCUAAAAGUUUAAUAUCCUUUUUCUCUCUAAAACUCAAAAGUUG